rnacentral:lncRNA from 1 species
UUCUUAUUUGAUAAGUUUUCUUUUUAAAAGUUUCUUUUAUUUUUUUUAAUAAUAAAUUUAGUUGAAAAUAUAAACCAACUAAAAUUCAAAUUUGAGACUUCAGAUAUCAACCAACAAAUUCUUUACCAUUUGCGUUAGGAACAGCCGGUCUUAUUUGAUAAAUUAAAUAGCUCCCACUAUUAUAUCAUAUGUAAAAAUUAAGUACAUGUAUUUCACGUUAGAAAACAGUGUUUAAACAUUUUUAUAGUUAACACUUAUUUAACAUUUUUCCUCACGUCUGGACUCAAGAUUUUUUAGUCGACCCAUGAUGUGAGCUUGAAUUAAAUGGAAGAAAAUUAAUAUGCUAGGAGCCUGGCGUGACUCGAACUUAGAACCUCCCGCUCUAAUACCAUAAAAAUAAAGAAUACUUAGAGAAGAUAUAUAUUUCUUUCAUGUUUGAUAAAUUACAAAAGACCUCUUUAUAUAAAGAGAGGUUAAACUAAUACAUAGUGAAUCAUGAAUUGGUAAGAA